CCCGACCCCGCUAUGGGCCCCGGGCCUGUGUGGCUGGUGGCCGUUUGUGUCCUGGGAGCAGGCCCCGUGGACACAGAAGUCACCCAGACCCCCAGAUACUUGCUGGCCCGGACUGGGGAGAAAGUCACGGUGAACUGCCAACCGCACGAGAACCAUGAGACCAUGUACUGGUACCGGCAGGACCCGGGUCUGGGGCUGCGGCUGAUCCAUUACUCCCAGACAAAAGGCCAUACCCAGGAGGGAGACAUCCCUCAGGGGUAUUCCGUCUCUAGGGAGGUGAAGGAGUUCUUCCCCCUGACGCUGGGGCCUGCGGACACGAAGCAGUCUUCGCUGUAUUUCUGCGCGAGCAGUGUAACCACAGCGCUGCAGUGGCCCCUCCGCCCUGUGCACGAACCUCCCCCGGCCCGGGGCAGGAAACCCAGGGUGGGCUAAAGGCCCACAGACCUGCCUUAGCCUCCGACUCGCUGGAGAUCCGGGCCAGGUCCUGAAUCAUGGUGUCGAG